rnacentral:piRNA from 1 species
UAAGGAGAAAGGAACCCUGGGAUAGAGUC